UUUGUCUUUGUGUUUGCAUUGCCCUAUUUUGUGAGCAUUCGUUUUGGGGUUGUUUGUUUCAUUGUUCACAUGUUUAUUUGCAUGUGUGGCAUGCAUGUGUUCACAUGUGUUGCAGAUAUUUCUUGGUCUAAACACUGGUUUGCAAGUGCAUGACUGUGGUGACUACUGCUUCUGCUGCUGUAGGCCUUCAUCUCUGAACAGAGGAUGCCAAACCAAGGCCCCAAUGAUAUAAAGAAGAUUCAAAUUGGAAAGAAGAGAACUCUCCAGCACUGCUUCAACUGAGCUCUAUCUGGCCUGCAAUCGCUAGAUAUGAUGAGUCACUUGAGUGGUCCUUUCUAUGUAAUGACUGGCUUUUGAGGCAUAUGAAGUAGUUGUUCAUGUGCCAACUAUAUUAAAUUGAAAAUUAGCAGAACAAUUUAGUGAAGUAUGCUAAGUCUGGGAGGAAGAGGGAAAAUUUUCUCUCUCCUAAAAUCUGUCUCAUUAAAUGUGCAGCAGGUGAAGUAAUUAAUAAGCAUUCAGUGAAAGACAUAGGAGACAAAAGGGAGAGGAAAAAGGGUUUGUUUUUUUUUUAAUCUAUUGACUAUAUUCUGCUUAUUCCUAGUGGACUGAGAGUGUUGGGAUUCUGACUGAAAUGGCGGAGUGAGGGACAUUUUCCGCUGUGCUGUGUGUAGUGCUUCACUUCAAGAAGUGCCAUGCAUGUGUCUAGAAAUAUGUUUUGCACCUUUUGGAGUGAAAUAAUGCACAACAGAUACAAGUCAGAACUACCCACUCAGUGAUGGGUCAACUCAUACAACCCUUUAAAGAGAAUUCUGUGGGGUAAAACCUAGAGGAUGAGGUUCUCUGGGAAUAGCCUCAUCUGUAGUUUCCCCGUGUUACUAUUAAGAUGGUCAGUGCCACCACCAUCAGCCAUACUAUGUGUAGUGCCUUAUUCAGGAAGGUGUUACUUAAUAGAUUAAUAUUUGUAAGGCACCCUUCUGAGUAGAGUAAUGUGCAACAUGGACAACAUUUGUGGUGGCAUUGGUAAUGACGAGUGGAAUUUCAGUGACAAUACUGCCCUCCCUUGAGCCUUGGUACCCAACCUUUAGUGAUGAGCCAUUUCCAGGUACUCUCUGAAGUACCUCUUGAGAGAUCUGCUCCAGAAUCUGAGGGUGCCUGGGAAAAGUCUCUCAUGUAGGUUUUUCAAUUAUUUAUUGCUUUUUCUCCACAAAAUGACUGACUACACUGGAAACAAGAUUUGAGGUAGGAACAUGAUACUUCUUUUUCUCUUGUACCUCUUAGUCUUUUCUCUCUAUAACAACCCAAAUACACUUCUUGCCUUAUAAACCCCUGAGAAGUUUACACUGAUCUUCUUUCCUCACAAUAUUUAAGCCUUCUUUUUAGGGAGCACAAAUAUCCUCCUGCCCUUCCCUGCUGAACUCCAAACUCCAUGAACCAUCUUUCUUAUGAAGUGAUCUCCUCAAGGCUUAGAUACACUCAAAUUCCCUUUAAUAUUCCUGUGUAUCCGUGAUGAUAAUCUCAUAUCAGUGGAGUUUGAUAUGAUACCCCAAAUUUGCUUUCAUUUGAACUAUUUAUAUGUUUUUAGCUGGUCUUAAC
rnacentral:lncRNA from 1 species